GUCUUUAGACAGUUUGUUUACGUUUGCUAUUUUUAGCAGUUCUUGUGACAUAAAACUGACAUUUGAAGUAGGAGUAUUUUUCAGGGAGGUCGCGUAAUUUUGAAAACGGGUGUAAUUAGGGCUGUGUAAAAACUGGAACAUAUACCUAUUAUUUUGCAUUUUUUCAGGACAUCCUGUAUAACCUAUCUAAAAGAUAUCCGGUACGACAAUGCCUACAAACAGUUUCAAAUGUCUUGGUUGGGACAGAUUACAAAAAUCUUUAAUUUCAACUAACGUCAUUUCCUCCCCUCCCCCCCCCCCCCCCCCCCCCCGCCCCUUAUUCAAUGUUGUGUGUCAUUUUCGGUCAGAUUUUAUGCGUUUUGGUAUAUAAAUUGAGAAAGCAACAUUGAUUGGGGAGGGGGGAGCGGUAUUGUGCGUAACAAAUUAUAGAGAUUGACUUACAAUCUAAAAAUGCAUGUGUCCCAACAACUUUUGAAAGUGAUUGUAGCUCAAUGAUAAAGUGUAAAUAUAGAUGCCCCCAGUUGACACAAUCGUGUGAUAUUUCUAGUUAAAUACCAGUUUAAGGUAGAUAAGGCUGGGCGAGGGUUAUGCCCCAGUGAUGAAAGUAGGGUAGACCUAGCAGAUUUACAGUGAUCUUACAUAAAAUAUACGUAGCACAAAAGCCCAUGUUUUCUUUGCCGGUAAUCUGAUAGGGGUUUAGUCCCGGGUAACAGGCAGGCGUUUAGUCCCGGGUAACAGGCAGGCGUUUUUUGGAGACAGAUUUUACGGGGGAACACAGAUCACUAUUGCCAGUGGCCUUCCGCCAUAGACUCUAGCUCGAUUCCAGGGUUACCUUGUGGUACAAAUGCCUCGCUGCUGUGACCAGUUCACAAAUGCAAUGCUUUGUCGAAAGCUCCAGACCACAUAUUCCAUGCUACAACAUUCCAUGCACUUUCAUAAUCACGGUAGUAACGCGGUGAAUGAAUACAAAACCAAAUGGCAAACAAAUUACAAUAACAAGCCAACGGUUUUGGUACUCUAUAGUAGUCAGUACGGUGUCUGUGAAGUACAGACUCUAUUAGUUUCGGAUUUUCCCUUCACCAGAGGUGUAGUGCGUUAUAACUUUUGUCCCCUACAUACACCGUCAUACGUCGCUGUUAUACCAUAGUGAACGUCACAUCAAAGUAAACACUUUACAAUCGAGAUUAAAUCUUUUCAAUAGUUUACAGUUAAACAAAGAAGCUUAAGAAUUUACAAAGCACGAGAUUCUUUCCUUUCUCUGCAAGAGAUAUGAAAUUUCUGUCGGGUAGAACCUUGGCAAAACCAAGCACAUAACUUUAUCAUGUUCUUCGCUAUUCUUGUUUAAUAUAUAUUUUGUGCAAUUCGAGUCUUGAACGUGGAUAUCAAUAAACUUGGCAGCCUUUUUGAAUUGUUUUUGCAGGAAAUAUCUAAUCUUUGAACAUCUCCAUCAGCUUAUAUUGAUGUUGAUCGGUUUAUAAGUACGGCAAGGUUUCCUGUGUUGCAUAUCUGCAUAACAAUCAAACCGACCACACUACAGGCGGGGAAUUGGUCACAGUUUAGCGAUCAAGCUCUUUUUAACAUAUGACUCGAUUUACGUGAAUGAAUGCUUUCGUUCUUUGCGCUGUUUUAGAGUUGCCAAAAGCCAAGAUUUCAGGUAAGCACUGUUAACA
rnacentral:lncRNA from 1 species